UACGUAGGGUGCGAGCGUUGUCCGGAAUUACUGGGCGUAAAGAGCUCGUAGGCGGUUUGUCGCGUCUGCUGUGAAAACUCGGGGCUUAACUCCGGGCCUGCAGUGGGUACGGGCAGACUAGAGUGCGGUAGGGGAGACUGGAAUUCCUGGUGUAGCGGUGAAAUGCGCAGAUAUCAGGAGGAACACCGGUGGCGAAGGCGGGUCUCUGGGCCGUAACUGACGCUGAGGAGCGAAAGCGUGGGGAGCAAACGGG
rnacentral:rRNA from 1 species